CCUACGGGUGACUGCAGUGAGGAAUAUUGGUCAAUGGGCGAGAGCCUGAACCAGCCAAGUCGCGUGAGGGAGUAAUGCCCUAUGGGUUGUAAACCUCUUUUGUCGGGGAGCAAAAGCCGGACGUGUCCGGCUGUUAGAGUACCCGAAGAAAAAGCAUCCGCUAACUCCGUGCCAGCAGCCGCGGUAAUCCGGGGGAUGCGAGCGGUAUCCGGAUUUAUUGGGUUUAAAGGGGGCGCAGGCGGAUUUUUAAGUCAGGGGUCAAAUCUUGGGGCUCAACCCCAUCAAGCCGUUGAAACUGGGGGUCUAGAGUGUGCGAGAGGUAUGCGGAAUGCGUGGUGUAGCGGUGAAAUGCAUAGAUAUCACGCAGAACCCCGAUUGCGAAGGCAGCAUACCGGUGCACAACUGACGCUCAGGCACGAAAGCGUGGGUAUCGAACAGGAUUAGAUACCCCUGUAGUC
rnacentral:rRNA from 1 species